rnacentral:rRNA from 1 species
UGAAUACGUUCCCGGGCCUUGUACACACCGCCCGUCACACCAUGAGAGUUGGCAAUACCCAAAGUUCGUGAGCUAACCGCAAGGAGGCAGCGACCUAAGGUAGGGUCAGCGAUUGGGGUGAAGUCGUAACAAGGUAGCCGUAGGAGAACCUGCGGCUGGAUCACCUCCUUUCUAUGGAGA